UAAUCGGUACGGGUUGUGGGAGCAAGAGCCCGGAGAUGGAUACUGAGACACGAAUCCAGCCCCUACGGGGCGCAGCAGGCGCGAAAACUUUACAAUGCGGGAAACCGUGAUAAGGGAACUCCGAGUGCCCGUAAAAUCGGGCUGUCCAUCUGUUUAAAUAACAGGUGAAGAAAGGGCCGGGCAAGACCGGUGCCAGCCGCCGCGGUAAUACCGGCGGCUCGAGUGGUGGCCACUAUUACUGGGCUUAAAGCGUUCGUAGCUGGACUGUUAAGUCUCUGAAGAAAUCUACCGGCUUAACCGGUAGGCGUUUCAGGGAUACUGGCAGACUA
rnacentral:rRNA from 1 species